CGAAAACACCCAUAGAAGUUUACUUUAUUUCAUUUUUGUCCAUAUUUUCUAUUAACACCCCCAUCUUAUACAAAAGCCCAACACCUGUGAAUUCAUAUGGUCAAUUGGGUCGUAUAAGAAGUCAUAAUCAUCUGGUCAUCUUCUCUCCACCGUGGUCUCUUUUUUUUCUGUGUCAUUUUCCGAUCUACUCAAUUUUCUCAGUUGCUUCUCUUGCCAGGAAUUAAUUGGAAGUGAUUUGGGGAGUUCGUAUGCAAAUUGACGUAAAAAAAGUGAAGAAUUUGGAGGAAGUAUAAGUUGGUGCCCAGGUUGGUGCCAGACACCAAUCAAAACGCCGUUGACAGCAUGAUAAAAUAUUCACUGUCCAGGUUGGCGCUAGGCACCAACCAAAAUGCCAUUGGCAGAAGACCAAAAUGUUUGAUGUCCAGGUUGGCGCCAGGCACAAAGCAUGACGCCAAAGGGUUGAUUUUAUCCUAAUUCAGCUAGGACUUGGGGAUUUCAACCCUACACGUCCCCAACAUGUAUAAAAAGAGUUCUAAACCUAUUUUGAGGGAUUGGACAUUAUUUGGAGGCACGAACAUCAAACAAGCUUUGGAGGAGAAAAUCAUCGAGUUCUUCAUUCCUUCAUCUUUUCUUUGUAAUUUGUUUAUGCAAAAUACUUGAAAAAAUAUUACUACGAAUAUGAGUGGCUAAGCACUCUAGUUUCUAGGGUUGUGGUUGACAUGAUUAUUAAUGUUUACUAACUACAUCUUCGUUAAUGCGGAUUAUCAUCUUGUGGUUGUU